UGGCUGAGGAUGACAAGUCCCUGCCACCUUCCCCAUCUACCUGGCUGCUGCAGGUGAGUUGGAAGGGAGCCCAGGGUGAGGCAAAGGCUCCUCGUCUCCAGUGCACACCUCUCCCCGCCACUCCCUGCCCAUCCCCGCUUCUUCCCCAACCCCCCCCCCCCCCCCGCCAGCAGCUCCAGCAGCCAGCACACUUCCACUUGGCCCUUCCCUCUACCCAUCUCUCUGUGUUUCUUUAGGCAUCAGACGGCUCCGAGCCUCACUCUCCCCAGCUGCAGAACGGGGUGAUUUCGGCUUCUCCCACGGGGCUGCUGUGGGGCUCCAGUUAGACCACCACCACCGUGCCCGGCCAUGUGACUCAUAGCGCCGUCUGAAGGAUUCUUCAUCCUGGGCGACUCGGAAUCACCAUGCCUCCUGGGUUUGCUCUUCUUGCUACAAAAGGCUCCCCAGGCCUUCGCCCCAGCUCUGGAGACGCUCCUCAGCCUGGUUCAUUUGGAGCGAGCCCGGCCCCUCUGUGUUGGGAAACAGGGGUCCCUUCCAGCCUCCGGCCCUGGGCAGAGGGAGGAGGAGGCCUCGGGAUGCAGAGGCAGGAGGGCGUGGAUUAGAAACCCAUCACAGAAAUGACUUUCUUAUCACGCUACGACCUGAAUUGACAGAACCAACUCUCGAAAUUGAAUUGUCUCCCCCCUCGGCUGCCUCAGCUCCUAGUUCCUUCCCCACUGCCACCUCCACCUCUGAAAGCCCUGCUGGGAGAGACCAAGAGACAGAGAUGCAGGAGAGAAGCAAAGAUGACUCAACUGAGGCACAGAGGCGUUCAGGAACCUACUCAGCAUCUGGACAGUACCCACGAUGAACAUUCCAGGUUUGUCACAUGCGGGGAGUCCCAAUGGUAAAAGCCCGUCUACACCCAAAUCAACCUGGGGUGGGGGUGGGAGGUGGAACCUGUGCCCAUUUUGCAGGUGGGGAAACGGAGGCCUAGCCCACAGAUGCCUUUAGCUUUAGGAUUAGAAUUAAGGCACUCCCAGGAUUCGGGGCUGGCGUUUUCAGAUGGUGUCCUGGGUGCCAGUGUCUAAGUCUGAGAUGGGGCAGUAGGCCAUGCACCCAACACUCGCCUUCCUCUGUCCUCCCUGCACGCCCCCCUUCCCUGGACUUGGUUCUCAAUCCCAGUACCCUCUAGGCCUGCGGAGGCCCUUUGUCCCACAUGAAGGUUGAGCUGGAGAGAGGGACUCACCUGAGAGCAGGUGCAUUCCCAGAUAACCCCCAGAUGCAAAUCGCAGGCCUCUGCAGGUCCAGAGUGGAAGGUGCAGAAGUGAGAGGGCCGAGCUCCACCGGUUCGUGAUCCGUAGUGACCCUGGAACGAGGUUCUUUACCUGAGUCACCUCAUCUCGUCUUCUGGACAGCCCAUAAGCCAGCGCAGCUCCCGUGCCCACUUUGCAGACCGAGAAACCCAGGCUCUUGUGCAGCCCUUCAUGCAGUCUUAAUGAGGACCUGGUUGAGCUGGGAUUCAAACCCAAGUUAGUCUGGAGCUCCCGCUGUGGCGUAGCGGGUUAAGAAUCUGAUGGCAGUGGCUCGGGUCACGGUGGGGGCGCGGGUUCAUUUCCCGACCCCUUAACAGUGGGUUAAAGGAUCCAGCAUCGCUGCAGCUGCGGCUUGGAUUCAGUCGCUGGCCCAAGAACCUCCAUGUGCCAAGGAUGCGGCCAUAAAAAACCAAAACAGAACAAACCCCCCAAGUCUGUCUGAAUCCAGAAUCCGAGCUCUUAACAGCGCGCUCCUCCUUGCAGGGGCAGAAGUCAGGAAGUCCCUGCCACAGAGGCCCUGGAAGCAGGGCCUAGAGUGCGACGCCAGUGGACAAA
rnacentral:lncRNA from 1 species